rnacentral:lncRNA from 1 species
CGAUAUACUUGGUCAAUCAGUAGAUUUGAUAUCUUUGAACCGUCGAGCUUUAGUGUAUACCUAGACAACCAUAAGUCACACAAUCAAUCCUUAACCAUCUUUGGUUCUCAUGUGUGUUCGUUUCAGCCAUGAACACCACCUGGUUUAUAAGUGCAUACAAAAUUGGCCUUACUAAAUUCUCCUUGAAGCGUCUUACACUUCACACUUAUAUAGGUGAUUCCUAACUGUGUAAUCCCAUAGAUACAUUAUUUGAUAUACCCUGUAUAAAACUUAGAAAUCAUUAAAAAGCCUUAAUGAUUUAUCCUUGGUACUAAACAUUGUCUCAUCACGAGAAUGGACCAAAAUUUUAUUUGACAAUGUUGAACCGUCACUAAUGACUUUGUUUGAUCUCCUUGAACCUAGAUCUUGGGAUCUCUAGUCUUCUAGGUAGAGUUACCGCCACAAUGACUUAUCCUCGGCCAUAGUCCCAUUCCCUUUGAUGAUAUCUCAACUACCUAUCUAGUUAGGCGUUUUGUAGUUGGCUAACGAUUAUAUGUAUUCGUCUUAUAUAACGAGAUUUCCCGUUAUACAAAAUGCUCAUAGCCCUUCCUAUUGCCACUUUACUGGUGCAAAUGAUUUGGGCCAACAUGAAAUAUCACUAUGAAAUUUCGGAGCCAUUCUGUUUUUUCACCGGCCUUGUCUAAGACUAUAAAAUCAACCUCCAUUACAGAGCGGGCAAUACCCCGUUUAUUUGGAUAAUUUUUAAGACACCGCUCCUCCACCGUCUGUGAAAAUAUAUCCACUUAUGGAUUUAAAACAUUCGAAUCAGUGAUCUAAUUUGCAUCGUUGUAUUCCUCUAUUACUGCAGGAUACUUUUGCAAAUCAUAAUUUUGAAUAUAUUUUAAAUAUCUCAAUACUCAUUUCAUUGUCAUGACAGUUCAAUCUGAACUUCUUUAUGUCGUAGACUAGUACGUCUCGACUUUCUAUUGCAUAUCAGAUUAUUGACUGCACUUAAUGUAGCAAUAGUAUAUUAUAACAACUACUGGAAUGAUUGGCAUCAGUUGUGGCCACAACCUUUUAAUAUUUACACAUUAAUCACUCCGCCAUUUUCAAGCAUUUGGUUGAUAUUUAUUCAUACUUCUAUAUGAUAUGCAAAUUAUAGCACUUUCAUUCAUGAAACAAAUCCAACUUCAAUGGAAUUUGGUCAUGUUCAUCUGUUGGUUCACCUCAUUAUAGACCAACGUAUUAAUAUGUUCGUUCAUGAACGGUCAUGUUUAUACAAAACAUAUAAAUGCACUUUUCAUGAAAAGUCUCAUCCUUCCAGGUGACACCCUUUCAUAAAGGAGCUAAACAUUAUAAAUGUUCAAGAAAGAACAAAUCAUUUCUGAAAAGCACGUAAACAACGGUCGAAUUUGUAGUUUCAUCACUAGUCAUCACUAAGACUAAAUAAGUAAUGAAUUCACCGACUAUCAUAUCAAUAUCCACUAAGAAUUGGUGGGGUUCAAAAAUUAUAUCAUUUAGACAUUACGUUUAACAUUCACUUGUGUCAUGCACAAGCUAAACGCCCCCACGUUCCAAACAUUUCAAAAGUGACGUGGACCGUGAGAGAAAAUCAACCUUCCAUCUCAACUAGUUACCACUGUUCAUCAGAAUUUCAUAAUAUAUCCCCAUUAAAAGAUAUGAUAAUUGGCCUAAAGAUAUUCUGCCACUGAUCCAAACAUACUUGCUCUUUGAUGAAAACCGCAAACAUCAUUCUUCCAAGGUAAUUCCUGUAUUUUUCUCUGUGAAUUGAUGGAACACUCCACCAAUUUUUGCGGAAGUCGGGGAUCGUAGCACCAAAAAUAAGUCUUGUGACAUAAAUCAACUUUGUACAGUGCGAUCCACCAAUUACAACAUUUCACAUAAAGCAGCCUCAUGGGUUGCAUUAAUUGCACUAUUCUGUCAAAACCAAUAAGCCGAAGACAAAGUAUUUUGAUUUCUGUUUGCUUCUCAAUUUUUUUUUCUUCGUAUGGAGGACAAUUUCCCUCAAAAUAGGGAUAGGUAAACUCCUUAAAAUUGUUGGUAAUCCGUGUUCGAAAUCAGAAAAUCAGAGAAGCAGAGAAACAUUCAUUUAAUAAACAAAACAAAAAAAUAAUUCUGAGCUCACAAGUUGCUUGUGUGUCCUUAAGAAAUUUAAUCACCUCACUGUGAGGAUAGAACGGAAUAACUAUUCUGUAAUACUCGCAAUCGAAAUUACAGAAUUUAAGCGAACUCAACAGACAGAGCAAAUUACACUUGACACUUAUGUAUAUUUAAAAAUAAUGCAACAAUAUAGAAAAGAGAGGAGAAAUUUUUAGUGGUGAGAUGAAGAGGUGAAAUCCAAGAGGUGCCUCUUUCAUUUCCCAUUCACACCCCUAAAUAAAAACGCAACAAUCCCCCACAUGAAUGGGGAAUGGACAUAUGUGAAAAAUAUGUAUGAAAAUACUGUGUGAUUCACAAUUAAGGAUUAAUCGCAUCUGGAUAAGUAGGUUACCCUUUGAACUUUCCGUAGUGAACUUAUGUCGGAUAUACUCGGUCAAUCGGUAGAUUUGAUAUCUUUGAACCGUCGAGCUUUAGUGUAUACCUAGACAACAAUAAGUCACACAAUCAAUCCUUAACCGUCUUUGGUUCUCAUGUGUGUUCGUUUCAGCCAUGAACACCGCCUGGUUUAUAAGUGCAUAGAGAAUUGGUCUUACUAAAUUCUCCUUGAAGCGUCUUACAUUUCACACUUACAUAGGUGAUUCCUAACUGUGUAAUCCCAUAGAUACAUUAUUUGAUAUACCCUGUAUCAAACUUAGAAAUCAUUAAAAAGCCUUAAUGAUUUAUCCUUGGUACUGAACAUUGUCUCAUCACAAGAAUGGACCAAAAUUUUAUUUGACAAUGUUGAACCGUCACUAAUGACUUUGUUUGAUCUCCUUGAACCUAGAUCUUGGUAUCUCUAGUCUUCUAGGUAGAGUUACCGCCACAAUGACUUAUCCUCGGCCAUAGUCCCAUUCCCUUUGAUGAUAUCUCAACUACCUAUCUAGUUAGGCCUUUUGUAGUUGGCUAACGAUUAUAUGUAUUCGUCUUAUAUAACGAGCUUUCCCGUUAUACAAAAUGCUCAUAGCCCUUCCUAUUGCCGCUUUACUGGUGCAAAUGAUUUGGGCCAACAUGAAAUAUCACUAUGAAAUUUCGGAGCCAUUCUGUUUUUUCACCAGCCUUGUCUAAAACUAUAAAAUCAACCUCCAUUAC